AUUGAACGCUGGCGGCAGGCCUAACACAUGCAAGUCGAGCGAGCGGCGGACGGGUGAGUAAUGUAUGGGGACUGCCCGAUAGAGGGGGAUAACUACUGGAGACGGUAGCUCAUACCGCAUACUAUCGGAUAACACCUAUGGGAUUAGCUAGUAGGUGAGGUAAUGGCUCACUUAGGCGACGCUCCCUAGCUGGGCUGAGAGGAUGAUCAGCCACACGGGGACGGAGACACGGCCCGGACUCCUACGGAGGCAGCAGUGGGGAAGAUUGUACAAUGGGCGCAAGCCUGAGGCAGCCAUGCCGCGUGUAGGAAGAAGGCCCUAGGGUUGUAAAGUACUUUCAGUCGGGAGGCGUUACCGACAGAAGAAGCACCGGCUAACUCCGUGCCAGCCGCCGCGGUAAUAC
rnacentral:rRNA from 1 species